CAUUGGAAGAUAACGUCUUAACCACUGGACUGCCAGGUAUACUGAAGAGAAGAAAUGACUUUCCUAACUUAUCUGUAAUCAUUGUUAAGUGAAGUCUUGGUAAGAACAAUUAAAGAAUGGACUGUCCUGCCCAGGCAAACAGGUUGAUUGCUCAUCCCAAGAACUUCCUCAGGAAACAAGGUUAAUAUUCAAAAGUGUCACUUUCCCAUAUACUUGCAAUGAUCAAGUGGCAUUUGAAAUGAAAAACACAAUACUAUUUACAUUAGCACUCCCAGUGAUCUAUAGAUUCAGUGCAAUCCCAAUCAUAAUCCCAACAAUUUAUUUUGUGGAUAUCGACGGGCUGAUCCUAAGUUUAUAUGGAAAGUCAAAGACCUAGAAUAGCCAACACAUGUUGAAGAACAAAGUCAGAGAACUGAUACUACCCAACUUGAAAACCUACUAUAAAAGCUACAGUAGUCAAAACAGUGUGGUAUUGGCACAAGAAGAGACAAAUAGAUCAGUGGAACAACACAGAGUCCAACAAAAAAUAAUCUUUGACAAAGGAGAAAAGAUAUCUUUUCAACAAAUGGUGCUGGAACAACUGGUCAUCCACAUGCAAAAAAAUUUAUGUAGACACAGACCCAAUAGGGCUUCUCUGAUGGCUCAGUGGUAAAGAAUCAAUCUGCAAUGCAGGAGACAUGGGUUCGA